GAUGAACGCUAGCGGCAGGCCUAAUACAUGCCAGUCGAACGAGAUUAAGAGGCUUGCUUCUUAUGAAAGUGGCGCACGGGUGCGUAACGCGUAUGCAACCUCCCUUAAUCAGGGGGAUAGCCCGAAGAAAUUCGGAUUAAGACCGCAUAAAAACACAGGAUAGCAUUAUCCAAUGUUCAAAUAUUUAUAGGAUUAAGAUGGGCAUGCGUGUCAUUAGCUAGUUGGCGGGGUAACGGCCCACCAAGGCGACGAUGACUAGGGGAUCUGAGAGGAUGACCCCCCACACGGGUACUGAGACACGGACCAGACUGCUACGGGAGGCAGCAGUAAGGAAUAUUGGGCGAGGGAGGGAACUCUGAACCAGCCAUGCCGCGUGCAGGAAGACAGCCAUCUGGGUCGUAAACUGCUUUUAUUCGGGAAUAAACCUUUCUACGUGUAGGAAGCUGAAUGUACCGAAGGAAUAAGGAUCGGCUAACUCCGUG
rnacentral:rRNA from 1 species